rnacentral:rRNA from 1 species
GUAGGAGGCAAGCGUUAUCCGGAUUUACUGGGCGUAAAGCGCGUGCAGGGCGGUUUGGUAAGUCGGACGUGAAAGCUCCCGGGCUCAACUGGGAGAGGCCGUUCGAAACUACCAGGACUAGAGGGCAGCAGAGGGAAGUGGAAUUCCAGGUGUAGCGGUGAAAUGCGUAGAUAUCUGGAGGGACACCAGUGGCGAAGGCGGCUUCCUGGACUGUCCCUGACGCUAAGACGCGAAAGCUAGGGGAGCGAACGGGAUUAGAAACCCCGGUAGUCCUAGCUGUAAACGAUGCACACUUGGUGUUGGUGGCGUAAAAACCAUCAGUGCCGCAGCUAACGCGAUAAGUGUGCCUCCUGGGGACUACGGUCGCAAGGCUA